UGGUUGUAGAGUGUGGUUAAAUUACUACUUUAAAAGGAGGUUAUUUAAAAGGAUUACUAUUAGAAUUUUUAUAAUUUUAUUUUCUUUUGAUAGUGGCUUUUGAGAUUGAUUUUUUUGGUAGUAACUUUAAAUAUUUAGAAUCACCUUUAUUAGACAUUGGUGAUCUUUGAAGUCUUAUUUUGGUUCUUUAAUUUGGUGUUUAGGGCAUAUAUUGAGUAAAUCUUUUGAAGAAAAGAAUUGAAGAGGGAUUUUGGUAGCAAAAAGAGAGUUUAGGGCAUCCAUAUAGAUGAAUGGAGAU
rnacentral:lncRNA from 1 species